rnacentral:rRNA from 1 species
GAUGAACGCUGGCGGCGUGCCUAAUACAUGCAAGUCGAGCGAAUGGAUUAAGAGCUUGCUCUUAUGAAGUUAGCGGCGGACGGGUGAGUAACACGUGGGUAACCUGCCCAUAAGACUGGGAUAACUCCGGGAAACCGGGGCUAAUACCGGAUAACAUUUUGAACCGCAUGGUUCGAAAUUGAAAGGCGGCUUAGGCUGUCACUUAUGGAUGGACCCGCGUCGCAUUAGCUAGUUGGUGAGGUAACGGCUCACCAAGGCAACGAUGCGUAGCCGACCUGAGAGGGUGAUCGGCCACACUGGGACUGAGACACGGCCCAGACUCCUACAGGAGGCAGCAGUAGGGAAUCUUCCGCAAUGGACGAAAGUCUGACGGAGCAACGCCGCGUGAGUGAUGAAGGCUUUCGGGUCGUAAAACUCUGUUGUUAGGGAAGAACAAGUGCUAGUUGAAUAAGCUGGCACCUUGACGGUACCUAACCAGAAAGCCACGGCUAACUACGUGCCAGCAGCCGCCGUAA